ACCGGUCCGACGAGACGUUGAGCCGCAGACUAACACCACGGCUUUGCUCAGUGACCGCAGAGAGACCGGGGGCGGGGGACACGCGGGAGAGGACACGAUGUCAAAGGCGAGAGGAAAAGGAUCAUCACGAAAGCACAGCGCCGCUCAUUGGUGUCUGCAGGAUAUUGCUCAAGAGUCAGUUGACAGCUCUGAUGAGGAGUUCUUUGAUGCCAGAGCAGAUGUUAUGGAGGGGAAGAGCGCCAUUCUGCUGGGCAUGAGUCAGUGGAACUCAAAUGACCUGGUGGAACAGAUUGAAACUUUGGGACACAUGGAAGACCAGUCGCACGAGGGUCUCUACCAACUGGGCGGUCCACGCUGUGCCCCUCAGAGCAGCAUUGAAGAACUGGAGGACACAGAGAGGAAAUGUAAGACGCAUGUGCUGCUGCUGGUGGUGCAUGGAGGAAACAUCUUGGACACAGCGGGGGGAGACGCCAGCUCAAAGGCCGGCGAUGUGGACACGCUGGCCUCGGUGCUGGAGAAGGUGACGCGGGCGCAUUUCCAGGCUGUCGCAGAACACAUCAAGAUCAAGCUGGUGCCAUGUCUGGCUGUGUGUGCCGAGGCCUUCUCCCUGGUGUCCAAUCUGAACCCAUACAGCUAUGACGAGAGCUGUGUGUCCAGUAGCGUGGACCACCUGCCCCUGGCUGCCCUCCCCCUCCUCGCCAUCGUCUCACCUCGCUACCAGGAUGCCGUGGCCACCGUGAUCGCCCGAGCCAACCAGGUCUAUCGCAGCUUCCUGCAGUCAGAGGACGGCCAGGGAUUUACGGGUCAGGUAUGCCUGAUGGGCGACUGCGUGGGAGGUGUGCUGUGCUUCGACGCUUUAUGCUUUAGCAAUCACCAGAGGCCCGGCAGCCCCAACAACAGCAGCAAGAACAACAGCACCGAGAGCCUGAAGGAUAACUCGGGCCUACUCGGGGAGUCCAGCCUGAGUCUGAGUUCCAGCAAGAGGCUCAGUAAGAGCAACAUCGAUAUCUCCGCCCCCAAUGAAGGGCUCAGACGCAAGCAAAGCGACUCCUAUGAUGGAGACGCCACGUCCACGGGCCAGCACAGCUUUUUUUCCAGUUUGAUGAAGGAGGGUGUGGAGCUGCGUGGUGGCAGAAGCACCGGUCUGGUGUUGAAUCCCGGUCAAUUUGACUUUGAGGUGUCAGACUGCUUCCUGCUCGGCUGCCCUUUGGGCCUGGUGCUGGCCAUGAGACGCACCGUGCUGCCUGCCGUCCAGGUGAACCAGCUGCAUCCAGCCUGCUCUCAGAUUUUCAACUUGUUUUACCCUUCGGACCCUUCAGCCUCCAGACUGGAGCCACUGCUGCAGUCUCUCUUCCACAAGUUGCCACCAUACGCUGUGCCGCGCUACCAGCGCUACCCUCUCGGAGAUGGACGCUCAAUGCUCAUAGCGGAGAGUAUCCAAAGUCAUUCAAAUGUGUUUCUGGAAGCUGAGCAAACCCCUGGAGGUUCAGCUUCACAGACGUCCUCUGAGACUAAGGCCGAUGGAGGAGGGGCAGAAGAAGGAGGUCGUAGAGCCAGCGUGACCAGCGCGGAAAGUGAAAUGUCCAAUUGCUCCUUGGGCCAGCUGGGAGACACCAUCGCUAACAUUUCCAGCAGCUGGUGGGGCUCCAAGAGGCUAGAUUACGCCUUGUACUGUCCUGAUGUGCUGACCUCCUUCCCAACGGUGGCUCUGCCUCACCUUUUUCAUGCCUCCUACUGGGAGUCCACUGACGUAGCGGCCUUCGUUCUCCGGCAGCUCAUGAGAUGUGACUGUGUGAAGACCCAGGAAGCGGACAAUUUGGGCUCUGCUCUGUCCUCUUCCUCCAGCCCUCGAGAAAAAUGGCUCCGAAGGAGGACACAUGUCAAACUAAGGAACGUCACUGCCAACCACAGGGUGAAUGAUGUCAUUGCCACCGAGGAUGGCCCUCAAACGCUGGUUGGUCGCUUCAUGUACGGGCCCCUGGACAUGGUCACACUGACUGGAGAAAAGGUGGACAUCCUGCUCAUGACACAACCUCAAUCCGGCCGCUGGGUGCACUUUGACACAGAGGUGACCAACAGCAGUGGCAGAGUCACAUACACGAUUCCCAAGAGCAAGAAGCUCAGCCUGGGAGUCUAUCCGAUUAAAAUGGUGGUCAAGGGCGAUCAAACGAGUGCAGAGGCUUACGUGACUGUGUUGCCGCGGGGCAUGGAGUGUGUGGUCUUCAGCAUCGAUGGUUCUUUUGCUGCCAGUGUGUCAAUCAUGGGCAGUGACCCCAAGGUCCGCCCCGGAGCUGUCGAUGUAGUCAGGCACUGGCAGGACCUGGGUUAUCUGAUCAUCUACAUCACAGGCCGCCCUGAUAUGCAGAAGCAGCGCGUGGUCUCCUGGCUGUCGCAGCACAAUUUUCCUCACGGGAUGAUCUUCUUUUCUGAAGGCCUGGUUCACGAUCCCCUUCGGCAGAAGACCAUCUUCCUCAGGAACCUCAUGCAGGAGUGUCACAUUAAGAUCAACUCUGCUUACGGCUCCAUGAAGGACAUCACCGUUUACAACAUGCUCGGCCUCUGCCCCUCACAGAUUUAUAUUGUUGGCAGACCUACGAAGAAGUAUCAAAAUCAAUGCCAGUUCCUGAGCGAGGGAUAUGCAGCGCACCUCGCCACCCUUCAGUUUGGACACAGAGCCAGACCCAAGAAAUCCCCUUCAGUCCGUAUGGUCCUCAGGAAGGGCUCUUUUGGUCUCUCGGCGAAGCCCGACUUCCUGUGUAAGCGCAGCCACCUGCGCAGGACCAUGUCAGUGCAACAACCCGACCCACCGUCCACACCCAACCCCAAGCCUGAGCGAGCUCAGAGCCAGCCGGAGUCAGAUAAGGACCACGGAGGAGGAGGGGGAGGAGGACAAGGCGUGUGGGGACGGCCCUCCAUUCACCGUGGAGACACCACUCCCUGACGUCGAAAGAGAGAUGGAAGGAUUGCAGGAAUAAAGAAGAGGAGAACAAAGGGGUCUUAGUGUCCAGGGCCAAGAUACAUGUAAAUUGGAUCGCCUGCCGGUAUCCCUCCGGCGCCGCUUCACCUCCUGCUCGGCACUCGACACUAUUCCUCCUGCCCGGCCCUUUCCUCCUGACCCGCUCGCUGGAUUAUGUCACUUAGUCUUUGUGCCUGAAUUAUUAAGCAGUUGCCGGGAGAUGGGGGGUUCCAAAUGUCCCUGUCUCGCUAGAAUUGUGUCUAAUUGUAAGGUAAAAAAAGAAGACGUACUUGAGAUAGUGACUCUGAACCUGUUGAGACCUUUGCAACCGGACUGCUGUGCUGCCGGGUGGUCACGUUGACAGACUCCUGCAGUAACGCCCCGCUCGUGUAAAUAAGUAUUCAACGCACGUCAUCCCUGUUCAGGCCUCUGGACAUUUAGUUCCAAGCUCCACACGAGCUCUGAGAUCCGCAGGUCCAAUGAGUCAACCUCAGCCCCCCCCCCCCCCCCUUUUCGACAGCCGCCUCAGAUCAGGUCCACGACUCGCACCCUGAGGUUGCACUUGCACUUUGGUCGUACGCCGCAGUGGUUCUCAGUUCGGCUGCGGCACUCGCUUCAGAAUCAAAGAGUUGUGUGUUUGUAGUUUCUUGUUUUUCCGGCAAUUUGUGCAGCUUGUGUGUUCCUGUAACUCCCGGAAGAUGAAACGCAAUCGUUUGUUGGCUUGACCAAAACACUUUUACAGAUUGACAGACUCGGAUGUAAAAAGUGAUCUGAACUUGUUUAUCUACUUAAUGUCGUUGCAGUUGCUUGCCGGAUAUUGUACUGUACAAUACACCCCAUGCCAGUUGAAGUUCCAGCAGGAUACUCUUGCAUCCAUUGAAUACAGCUGCACUGGAACCAAGACGAUACACGUGAUUACGUCUGAUGCUGUCUUGAAUUGAAUCCAUGUUUAAAACUCAAGUCAAACAUAUUUUUCAAUGAGGAAAUAUUGUAAAUAUAAAUAUUUUCAAUGUAUGAUUUUGAACCUUUUGUUGUUUGAUCUUAAAUUGUAAUUGCUGUUGUGUAGAGUUUUGGAUUUGUUUGACCAAAGUGUUGGACAAAGUGCAUUUUAUCAAGUUGAUAUUGUUGCUUUGACAGGUUUUAGAUAGUGUGUGCGUGUGUGUGUGUGUGUGUGUGUGUGUGUAUGUGUGUGUGUGUGUACCUAGGUAUUUGUGGUAGACUUGUAUUUACUGUGAACAUGGAAAUAGCUGUGACGAGUACAUGUCGGCGUGUUGACAUGCCACCAUGUUCUCACUGUGUACUUUAGAGGUAUGGAUUAAAGCACUGCGUCAGAGGAUUAUUUAGUUGAGGUUUUUACACCUGCUGUAAAAGAAGAAGAAAAGGCUUUUGAGAUCUGUGUCUGGGUUCAACUGAAAACCUGCAUCGCCAGGAGGGAGCAGGCUUUUUCUUUUUCUUUCCCCGCCUGCACAUAAUAGGUGUUCCAGUAAUUCGCUGUUUGAUUACUACUAAUCAGUAUUUAUGACUCUGUUGUGCCGCCCGUGUAAUUGCAGUGCAGUGUUUAGCAUUACUUGGUACAUUUAUAACAUUGUACAAUACUGAAAAGCCUAACUCCAUUUUGUUUUGCAUUAAGAUUGUUGAAUACUGAAAUAUUGUUUUUCCAAGCAACAUAAUGAUCAAGUCGGUUUAACACAUAGUAAUAUCUUUCAGUGUGUAAACUAUGUAUGAUGGGCAACAUAGUACAACAACAACAACAACAGUAUAAUAUUGGUAAAUGGCAAAUGAUGGUCUAAUAGUUAAAUGGUGAUUGUUCUGUGCAUGUUAUUAUUUCAUAUUGUUAAGUAAUGGCUAUCAAUUGUCAUCUUUGUUAUACUUUGAAGUUUUAAUUAAUUAACGGGAGAAUAAGAAUUAAUCAUUCAUUCGAACAGCAAAUCCGAAUUCCAAUAGCAUAGAAAAGUAUUAGUAUUAGUAUUCACCAAAUCACAACUUAACUAUAGAGUAUUGACAUCAUUUGCCAUUUAUUAACAGUUUGUAUGACUUAAUAAGUCGGCUUUGGUAACUAACAUGGUGUUACAGUCUGUUUUACAAAAAACAAAAUAUUUGUGUUAAUUAUUUGUGUGGUCUUAAUCUUGGUUUUAUGAGUAUUUGAAACCGGAACUUUGACCAAUGUGGGGAAAAAAAUGGUUUCCUGGCUCCAAAGUGUAUUGUUUUGUACAGAGCUCAUGUAAUUAUGUUGUUGUGUUUAUUGGACUCAGUCCAUCUUUCACUAUGGCAUAAAUAAAGAUAUUUCAUAGUC